rnacentral:rRNA from 1 species
UACGUAGGUGGCAAGCGUUGUCCGGAAUUAUUGGGCGUAAAGCGCGCGCAGGCGGUCCUUUAAGUCUGAUGUGAAAGCCCACGGCUCAACCGUGGAGGGUCAUUGGAAACUGGGGGGCUUGAGUGCAGAAGAGGAAAGCGGAAUUCCACGUGUAGCGGUGAAAUGCGUAGAGAUGUGGAGGAACACCAGUGGCGAAGGCGGCUUUCUGGUCUGUAACUGACGCUGAGGCGCGAAAGCGUGGGGAGCAAACAGG